CCAUGAUCUAGGGCGAGCGGCAGGUGGGAGAUUAGAACCCGCGAGGCUGCCGCGGCUUCUGCUCCCUCCCUGCUAAGCUCUGUCCCACAAUGCACCCGAGAGCAGCAGCUGAAAGCCUCUAACACCCACAGAUCCCUCUAUGACUGCAAUGUGAGGGGAGUCGUGUUCUCAGACUUGUCAGCAUUUCAGCACCCAGUUAUGACAUGUCACGUGGACUACUACUGGUAAAAAUGUGAGCAUCCAGAUGAGUGCAUUUUUCGCUUUUAAAGGCUGGAGUACAGUGGCAUGACCACGGUUCACUGCAGCUUCAACUUCCCAGGCUCAGGUGAUCGUCCCACCUCGGCCUCCCGAAUAGCUGGUACUACAGGCGUGCACCACCA
rnacentral:lncRNA from 1 species